GUGAUUGUGAUAGACCCGGGAAACCUGGUCUGACACCCUUUUAAACGGCAGUUGGAGGAGGCUAAGGAAGUAAAAAAGUUGAAGUUGCCAGCUAACUAUGCAACCCCUUUUGUUCUCUGGUGUCAGCCCCCCAGAACCUCUUCUUUGAGAAACUUAUGCAGUUCCUGGCCAAGGAGGUACCUACUGCCAGCGACUACUACCAAGAACAAGCAGCUUCCAAAACUGGAUGGUGGGCAGAGUUAUUUUUAUCUACUCACUGUUAUCUCCUUUAUUUUAUGAGCAGCUCCCUGUGUUUCCUUGUGGUUUGUUUCACAGGAUUCAGUGAACAUGUUCCAAGCAGCAGAGGGUCCUGGCAGUUCGACCCUGUGGGGAAUUCCCAGACUGACAUGGGGCCUCAGUAAAGGGAGUUUUUGAGAUAAGGUGGGGGUAUAGAGAAUGUACUUUGGGACAGCACCAGAAUGAAAAGAAAGUAAACCCAGGCAUAGAUAUUGGGUGUUCAAUUCGGGAAGAGGUUCAGCAGCCCAAAAAUGAGGCAGCUGGAAGACUGGAGGCCUGAGCUCAAUAGGAGGAGGCAUAGGUGUGAUCUGCCUAGUGUGGAGGUGACAUUUCUUCCCUACAAUCCCUAACCUUCCAAACCUCACAGCAUUCUUCUUCCAACCCUCUCCAGCUUCCUGUUGGCCUCUGUAGGCAUGGACUUCCUUAUGGGCUGGAGGUUGCCGAUUGGUCUUUUACUCCACCCCCAGACUUAAGGUGUGGUUGUACACAGGCACCCAACGAAGGGCAUUUAGUAGUUCAGUGGGUGUUUCCUUUGGCUGGGGGCUGCUGAAUGCAGAAGUGGUGGCUUAAGUUCAUCAUAUCUGGCCACAGGUAGGC